UGGGGAAUAUUGCACAAUGGGCGAAAGCCUGAUGCAGCAACGCCGCGUGAGUGAUGAAGGUCUUCGGAUUGUAAAGCUCUGUCUUUUGGGACGAUAAUGACGGUACCAAAGGAGGAAGCCACGGCUAACUACGUGCCAGCAGCCGCGGUAAUACGUAGGUGGCGAGCGUUGUCCGGAUUUACUGGGCGUAAAGGGUGCGUAGGCGGAUGUUUAAGUGAGAUGUGAAAUACCCGGGCUUAACUUGGGUGCUGCAUUUCAAACUGGAUAUCUAGAGUGCAGGAGAGGAGAAUGGAAUUCCUAGUGUAGCGGUGAAAUGCGUAGAGAUUAGGAAGAACACCAGUGGCGAAGGCGAUUCUCUGGACUGUAACUGACGCUGAGGCACGAAAGCGUGGGUAGCAAACAGGAUUAGAUACCCUGGUAGUCCACGCCGUAAACGAUGAGUACUAGGUGUAGGAGGUAUCGACCCCUUCUGUGCCGCAGUAAACACAUUAAGUAUUCCGCCUGGGAAGUACGAUCGCAAGAUUAAAAC
rnacentral:rRNA from 1 species